AUGUACAUGUCUCACUACCUACACUUCAGUGGUAAUGAAAUUAUGAUGAUGUUUUUGCUUUCACUUAGUUUCAGAUGCAGUAGAUACAAUUUGCACUUAUAUGAAGGAAGAACUGGGAAAGUACAUCUACUUUUCAAGAAUGCCACAGGCCAGACACAAAUCCAGAUUGGAUACAGGGACCGACAUGCUGGUAAGAUGGGUCCUUGAUAAUUCACUGAACACAGAGCUGCAGAUGUGACUCGGCAUAGUGACCUAAGAGUGGGAGCGGUAUGGAACCGUUGAAGCAAUUCACCGAACACUGUUGAAGCAAUUCACCGAACACAGUCAGAGCUGCAUGUGUGACUUGGCAUGGUGACCCUUAAAGUCUCCUGACGGCUCCGAUUGCGAUUCUGAUGAUGACCCAUUGUCUAUGCUUGUGAGCGAGUCAAAAGUCUAGAUCAAGGAUCUUCUCUGCUUCAACCACUAUCGCUUGGAUGACAUUAUGUGUGAAGAAACUUGAAGGACUUGUGUUGAAGGGCAUGCUUGAGAAACUAGAAUCAAUUACAUUGAUCGUUUUGGCAAUGCUUCAAUGUUUCCAUACCUCAAUCUCUCUUUUAUACUGUUUGAUUUUAAACAUUUUGAAUAUCAUAAAUAAAGCAA